rnacentral:rRNA from 1 species
UACGUAGGAUGCAAGCGUUGUCCGGAUUUAUUGGGUUUAAAGGGUGCGUAGGCGGCUGAUUAAGUAAUUGGUGAAAACGCUCGGCUCAACUGUGGACCCGCCAUUGAUACUGAUAAGCUUGAGUGCGACAGAGGGAGUUGGAAUGUGUGGUGUAGCGGUGAAAUGCUUAGAUAUCACGCAGAACACCGAUUGCGAAGGCAGAUGGCUAUGUCGUAACUGACGCUGAGGCACGAAAGCGUGGGGAGCAAACAGG